AGUAAUUUUAGUUAAAGUAUUAUUAAAAUAAUAGGUUUUUGUAUAAUUAAAGAUAAAAUAAUUUUAAUGAUAGUGUAUUAGUAUUGUGAAAGAAUAAUUUAUAAUUAUUUUUAAGUAAAUUUAAUUUAUUGUACCUUUUGUAUCAGGGUUUAUUAAAAAAAAAUUAAGAAUUUAAUUUUCUCGAAAUUAAAAGGGUAAUUAUAUUAUUUAUUAUAUUGUAGAAUAAAUAUAUAUAAUAAUGUAUUAGUAAUGAAAUGUUAAACGUUUUUCUUGAUAUCUAGUUUUUUUAGAAAUAAAUUUAAUUUAGUUUAUAUUAAUAUUUUAGCUUACUAAGAGUUAUUAUAUUUAUUAUAAAAAAUAUUUUUGGGGAUAAGCUUAAGAAUAAAAUUAUAAUAAUUUAUUAUUUAAUUAGAUUUAUAGGGUUAGAAAUAUUCAUUAUUUAAAAAUGUUAUAAUUUAUUUAAUUAAGUAAAUAAUUUUUAUUAGUUUAAUUAUUUAUAAAAAUUUUAAUUUUAAUAAAAAAGAUUAUGUAAUAAUGAUAAAAUUAGUAUAUUAAAAGUAUAAGUAUUUAUAAGAGAAAGGUUAUUUAAAGGAAUUCGGCAAAUAAUAUAUUCACCUGUUUAUCAAAAACAUGUCUUUUUGAUUAUAAUAUAAAGUCUAAUCUGCCCAUUGAUAUUUAUUAAAAGGCCGCGGUAUUUUGACCGUGCAAAGGUAGCAUAAUCAAUAGUUUCUUAAUUAGAAGCUGGAAUGAAUGAUUGAAUGAAAUAUAAACUGUCUUUAUGUAAUUGUUAUAGAAAUUAAUUUUUGAGUUAAAAAGCUUAAAUAAGAUUAAAGGACGAGAAGACCCUUUAAAGCUUUAUAUAGAAAUUAUAAGUAAAUUUUAAUAUUAUUUUAAUUAUUUUUAAUUAUAUAUUUUAUUGGGGCGAUAGGAAAAUUUAUGAAACUUUUUUUAUUUUAAAACAAUUAUUAUUGGGUAAUUGAUCCAUAUUUUGUGAUUAUAAGAUUAAGUUACUUAAGGGAUAACAGCGUAAUAUUUUUUGAGAGAACUAAUCGACAAAAAAGAUUGCGACCUCGAUGUUGGAUUAAGAUAAUUUUUAGGUGCAGAAGUUUAAAAAUUUGGUCUGUUCGACCAUUAAUUCUUACAUGAUCUGAGUUCAGACCGGCGUAAGCCAGGUUGGUUUCUAUCCUUAAUUUAUUUUAAAAUAAACUAGUACGAAAGGACCUUUUAUUUAUAAUAUUUAUAUUAAAUUUGAAUAAAAUUAA
rnacentral:rRNA from 1 species